rnacentral:rRNA from 1 species
GCUUGCUUCUCUGCUGACGAGCGGCGGACGGGUGAGUAAUGUAUGGGGAUCUGCCUGAUGGCGGGGGAUAACUACUGGAAACGGUAGCUAAUACCGCAUAAUGUCUUCGGACCAAAGCGGGGGACCUCCGGGCCUCGCGCCAUCAGAUGAACCCAUAUGGGAUUAGCUAGUAGGUGAGGUAACGGCUUACCUAGGCGACGAUCCCUAGCUGGUCUGAGAGGAUGAUCAGCCACACUGGGACUGAGACACGGCCCAGACUCCUACGGGAGGCAGCAGUGGGGAAUAUUGCACAAUGGGCGCAAGCCUGAUGCAGCCAUGCCGCGUGUAUGAAGAAGGCCUUCGGGUUGUAAAGUACUUUCAGUCGGGAGGAAGGUGUCAAGGUUAAUAACCUUGGCAAUUGACG